GCACCUGUCUAACAACCAGUUACGCAACAUCUCCCGGGCGACGUUCAGCGGCUUGAUAAAACUAGAACAUCUGAAUUUAGGCUACAACGCACUCAAAUCCAUAGACGACGGUUUAUUUGAAGAAGUGACGAGUCUAGCCUCACUGGAUUUACGAUGGAACGCACUCGAAUCCAUAGACGACGGUGUAUUUGAAGAAGUGCCGAAUCUAACCCAACU